GAUGAACGCUAGCGAUAGGCUUAACACAUGCAAGUCGAGGGGCAGCAUGAACAAAGCUUGCUUUGUUUGAUGGCGACCGGCGCACGGGUGCGUAACACGUAUGCAACUUACCCAUAAAUCGGGGAUAACCCGGAGAAAUUCGGACUAAUACCCGAUGGUAUUAUUUGAGGGCAUCCUCUUUUAAUUAAAGAUUUAUCGAUUAUGGAUAGGCAUGCGCAUGAUUAGCUAGUUGGUGAGGUAACGGCUCACCAAGGCGACGAUCAUUAGGGGUUCUGAGAGGAAGGUCCCCCACACUGGUACUGAGACACGGACCAGACUCCUACGGGAGGCAGCAGUGAGGAAUAUUGGUCAAUGGACGAGAGUCUGAACCAGCCAAGUCGCGUGAAGGAAGACUGCCCUAAGGGUUGUAAACUUCUUUUGUAUGGGAAUAAAAAGAGGCACGUGUGCCUUAUUGUAUGUACCAUACGAAUAAGGAUCGGCUAACUCCGUGCCAGCCGCCGCGGUAACAC
rnacentral:rRNA from 1 species